GUGGAGGGCACCCUCUGCCCGUUCCCACCACCUCCCUUAACUCCUCCACCCCUGGUCGAGCCCUCCUUCCUCCUCCCUGUUCUCUCCCUGCUCUCUCUCCCUCACAGAACCGAAGUAGCUGCAGUUGAGUAGGACCACCAUCCAUCGGCGAAAUUCGAGCUCCAUGCUCAUCCGCCGACCUCGCUGGAUUUGAGGCCGCGCUGUCUCCAUUGCCGCCUCCACCCACCUCCACGUUGAACCACCAUAACACUGCUCCAUCAGCGAAAUCCCCACCACGGUGAGCUUCUACGAGCUCCCAGGGUGCUUUGGCGCGUACCGGUUUCGUUCCGUCCCGCCGCCAGCCCGUCGUGCAUCGGGAGCCUCUCCGUCGCCGAGCCGCAUCCCCGUCGCCACCCGGGUCGCCGUUGCGCUCUCCGACUGGCAAGUACCUGCAAGGGUUCUCCAUGAGAACGAAGAAUUGGAGAGCGAUAUGGGCGUGAACAAGGGCGAUCCGGACUUGUGGCUGUUAAUUGUGAAGCUGAGUAGCAAGAUAAGAAUCUAAGCAUACUCUUUCCAGUACUUUGGAUCAAUUGGGUCUAAUGUGAUAAAUUAUGCCUUAUGUAUGUUUGCAUGAUAAUGAAUCAAGUGUCGGGUUGAUAUGGGUAGAUCUUAUUUGUUGGAUUGCCCUAUCUUGAUGUUGUUUAUCGCUUGAUCCGUUGUAACAUGGGUUGUUUAUGUAUCAUGAUCAAGUGUAAAAUUUUAGCAAUGUGCUUAGCAAUGCUUAGGUCUUUCAGUAGAAGUCGAGCGGUGGUUCAACCUCCGUUCGCGAGCUUAGGGCUUAUUUACUUGUUCACAAAAGAAUGAUAAUAUUGUUGGGGUGGAUGUGUUUUGAGGAUGAGGUGAGAUGUGGGUGGUGCU